rnacentral:rRNA from 1 species
AGUCUGCAACCCGACUCCACGAAGUCGGAUUCGCUAGUAAUCGCGCAUCAGCCAUGGCGCGGUGAAUACGUUCCCGGGCCUUGUACACACCGCCCGUCAAGCCAUGGGAGCCGGGGGCGCCUGAAGUCCGGGACCGCGAGGACCGGCCUAGGGCGAAACUGGUAACUGGGGCUAAGUCGUAACAAGGUAAC